CAGUAGCCGCGGUAACACGAAGGGGGCUAGCGUUGUUCGGAAUUACUGGGCGUAAAGGGCGCGUAGGCGGCCAUUCAAGUUAGAUGUGAAAGCCCUGGGCUCAACCUAGGAAUUGCAUUUGAUACUGUUUGGCUUGAGUUCGGGAGAGGUGAGUGGAAUUCCCAGUGUAGAGGUGAAAUUCGUAGAUAUUGGGAAGAACACCAGUGGCGAAGGCGGCUCACUGGACCGACACUGACGCUGAGGCGCGAAAGCGUGGGGAGCAAACAGGAUUAGAUACCCGCGUAGUCCCUGUCUCUUAUAC
rnacentral:rRNA from 1 species